AUAAACAAACUCCAAAUAUUGUUAUACUUUGAAAGCUUUUAAAUACUUAUAAUUCAUGAUUGAUCAAAUCAAACGUCUCACUUACUACAUUUAAGUCUAAUUAAAAGUUGGUGGAUUUCUUUUGGUCUGUUUCAGCGAGCUUCAGUGAUUCACUUCUUUGUCUCACAGGGUUUUUAUAUUUAUUCUGAAAUGCUAGAACACCUUUCUGUGGGUCACAUUUGAAAUAAAAUGUGCUUCUGUGGAAUAAAGAAUGGAUCCUAAACAGAAGCAGAAGUUCGAGAAAAGCUCACAUGUGAUGUUCAUCUGUUGUCUGCAUUUCCACGUUUCUCUGCAUGUUUCACACCUUUCAAACUGUCUCUUGACACGAAGCGUUUCUCACAAGCAGCGAGUCAGAGAGUCAGAGAGGACGUGAGGACGUGAGGAUGGGACACACUUUGUUUGCUGUGUGGGGGCUUUUCUUGCUGAAUAUUCUCCUCCACUGUGGACACGCUCAAGAUGUUUUGCUGCAUUUUGAGCCAAACUGGUCCCCUUUAUUUACUGGAGAGGAAGUUACCUUCAUAUGUGACUCAAGGGAAGGAAACAAUGCUGACUGGUAUUAUACAUUCAGUAGUAAUGAUCAUUGGUUUUCCUACAAAGCACCAAAUAGAUUUACAUUAUCAUCUCUAACUAGAGAACAUAGUGGUGAAUAUCAGUGUGUUGCUGAUCACAAGUUCCCUCCCUACGUUAGAAGAGAAAGUAAUAAAGUCUCUCUAAGUGUUUCAGGUAAGUGAUCAAAGUUUUACCAUCACGACGAGUUCAUUAAAGCACUUUUAUAUUAAUGAGACGUGUUGAUUUAAUAAACCUGUUUGAUGAAGUGUUAAUGUAAUAUAAUGUAGUGAUAAUUAAUGAAUGUUAACUAGUUUAAGAGGAAGUUGACACUGAUGCUGAUUAAUUAGCUGAGCUUUGUUUAAAAGGAUCAAUUAAUUAACCCUGAAAAAAAAGACAAACAUCCCAUAUUUUAUCCGUAUUGAUUCAUUAUAAAUCACUUAUUGAUUCAUUAAAACUUAAAUGGAUCAAACACAUCAGUAGAGUGGCGCCUCCUUCAGGUGAAAUGUACUCAUUACUCAGUGAACCUUUUAUUAUUUAUUACAUACAUUUAAAUUUACCACGUUAAAUUAUAAUUGAGUUACUGUGUUUAAAGACAUUGUCCCCAAACACCUGUUGAACACAGUUGAAGACAGAUAAAAAGACAGAGGACAUCAGCAGUGAAAGUAAUCCACCAAGGACUCAUCAUAACACGUCUUUAUUCUGUGAAACCUCUUUCCAACAGAUGUCCCUCAGCCUGUCCUCACAGUGUCUCCAUCAUGGCCGAGUCCUGGAGACUCAGUGACUCUGACCUGCAGUGUUGGACCUCCGUCUGCAGGAUGGAGGUUCUUCUGGUAUAAGGCUGUUCCCAAACUGUCAUCCUCCUACACCUAUGAGCUUCUAGCUGGUAGCACCACUGGGACUGAACAGGGUUCCUACAUUCUUCAUGGACAGACACACACAGCAGGAUAUGUGUGCAGAGCUGGAAGAGGAGA